GGGUGCGAUCAUACCAGCACUAAUGCACCGGAUCCCAUCAGAACUCCGAAGUUAAGCGUGCUUGGGCAAGAGUAGUAUUAGGAUGGGUGACCUCCUGGGAUGUCCUCGUGUUGCACCCC
rnacentral:rRNA from 1 species